rfam:Otolemur garnettii contig023194, whole genome shotgun sequence.
GUCUAUGGGCGUACCACCCUGAACGCGCCUGAUCUCAUCUGAUCUCAGAAGCUAAGCAGAGUUGGGCCUGGUUAGUACUUGGAUGGGAGAAAAAAGAGAAAUCACAUCUGAAAAAAUGGGAGUGGGGUUU